UACGUAGGUGGCAAGCGUUGUCCGGAAUUACUGGGUGUAAAGCGCGUGUAGGCGGGAGGCCAAGUCUGCUGUGAAAUCGCCCGGCUCAACUGGGCGGGGUCGGUGGAAACUGGUCACCUGGAGGACGGUAGAGGCGAGUGGAAUUCCCGGUGUAGUGGUGAAAUGCGUAGAGAUCGGGAGGAACACCUGUGGCGAAGGCGGCCACCUGGGCCGACCCUGACGCUGAGGCGCGAAGGCGUGGGGAGCGAACGGG
rnacentral:rRNA from 1 species